UGUCCAGUAGCGGAAAUCGAACCCACAACCUUCUGCUUACCGGGCAGGUGCCAUGUCCACUAGGCUAUCCUGGAC
rnacentral:tRNA from 1 species